rnacentral:lncRNA from 1 species
UACAGUGUACUAGAAUCUUCUAUUCACUAUAUCCGCGCCUCGAGCGCGCGUCGGCGUCGUCAUUUGUUUUCUUGAUUUUUUUUUUCUUUUUUUUCCGCUGGCGUCAUGACAUUCGCGGUGCUGCUCCCCGCGAGCAACGCCGCGAUUACAAAGAGGGAACUGAGAGGGCGAGCAGCGAGGAGGGUGACUAGCGCCUCGCCACCGGCGUACCCCUCUCCCCUCGUUGUGCGCCUCGCACUGCUCACAGCCUCGCGUUGAUCCCGCCGCCAUACAGAAGGCACGUGGCGCCUUUAUGUGCAGUUUUGUAGCUGUGGUCGUAGUUUUGCCGCUGUGUACGUUGGCGUUGUAACAGGUGUUCUGUGGUGCCGUUCGGUGUCGUGCAAAGAGCUCUCCUGCAAAAAUCUGCUGCAACAGUUUCCCCAAGGAAGCACAACAGAUGUUGAAGAUGCCAUCAAAUCAUGGCUCAGACAUGCACCGGAAAGGGCAUCAGGCACCCUCGAACACAAGGAGCCUGCAACGUCUGUUGAAGACUCAAAUGAAGAUGCUGAAUGAGUACCUUCCUUGCCCGCUGCACUCCAAUCCCAUGCCAGUGCCAUGACAUUCGUGUGCCCGAUUACAGCAGCUACCAAGUAGCUAUAGAUAGUACCUUCACAGCAUCAUUGUUACUUUUUCUCUUCUUAUUUUAGCAUAUGUGUUAAGCAAUGUGUGUGAUCAAUGCUCACUAUCCAGGAAGCAUGUUCACUUUCAGUAUGAGAUUCACUUGUGUGGGCUUUCCACUUCAUUUUUCUUUAUGGCCGGUUCUGAUCAUUAGCAGUUCUAGUCAACAGGUGAUUUUGAGGGACAAAUUA